rnacentral:siRNA from 1 species
CAUCUAACAGAGUGUUGUAUG